GGCUGGCACAUUGCCAGAGCAUUGUCACUCACAUAGUGUAAACAAGACUCUCAUUGGGUGCUGUCCAGUCCGCAUUGGGCUGUCUGGAAAAAAAGAAGCAAUAACUGGCCCUGCGGUUUCAAGGCGUCCCAGGGUUAGAUGAUGAAAGGAGAUAAGACGAGACUGUUUCAAGGCGCUCCAUACUCGGACCCCAUUCGCCCUCGAGCCAUAUGAGUCAAGCGUGAAUCAAAGGGAAUACGGCGGGCAGGAAGAGGGGACGUUAAACAUUAUAUAUAUUUUUAAAUUAGGUUAUAUUUCGGAUAAAUGCGAUGCAACAAUGGUUUAGCAGUAAACGUUUUGAGACAACCGCCGCGAAUCACCAGAUGAAUGGAAUACAGCGAGUAGAUAUAUCGUCUCAUAGAGAAAGAAGUGAAACGGCAAGCCCGGAGUCCCUCCUCUUGGAGUUUCAAUGGAGUAAAUGACCUGAGCUCUAGGACCAUGCCCCAGGACUACCUGACAUGAUGACUCCUUGCUGUCCCCAGUCCACCUGGCCGUGCUGCUGUUCCAGUUUCAACUGUUCUGCCUUAUUAUUAUUCGACCAUGCUGGUCAUUUAUGAACAUUUGAACAUCUUGACCAUGUUCUGUUAUAAUCUCCACCCGGCACAGCCAGAAGAGGACUGUCCACCCCACAUAGCCUGGUUCCUCUCUAGGUUUCUUCCUAGGUUUUGGCCUUUCUAGGGAGUUUUUCCUAGCCACCGUGCUUCUACACCUGCAUUGCUUGCUGUUUGGGGUUUUUGGGCUGGGUUUCUGUACGGCACUUUGAGAUUUCAGCUGAUGUACGAAGGGCUAUAUAAAUAAAUUUGAUUUGAUUUGAUUUGAAUUGGAACGCUGAGAGCCAGGCCUAAUCGCCCAACAUCAAUGCCCAAACUCACUAACAUGCUGACCAGACCGGACACGUCGCGUGCGCGAGAGUUGCAAAAUAAAUGUUGAAAUCCAUGUUAUUCAAUUAAAAAGCCUGGAAGGAGGAGAGAUGACUAGAAACGAUUCGGUUGACCAUUUUAUGUGUGGAUUAAUUGUCGGAGUAGAGGACCUUGUGCAUUUCAGGGAAAAUAACAACUCAAUGUUUAUAUUCCAGGACAAAUUAGCUAGCAACAGCAAGCUAGCUAAAUUGGAAAAAUUAGCUAGCAUGUGCAAGCUAGCUAGCUAAAUUGCCAUACAUGUAGGUGUCCACAUGCAGGUGUCCACAUACUUUUGGCCAUGUAGUGUACCUACACUGCGACGGAAAACUGUAAUUUAUGCGGUAAUUUGAGGUAUUAUCAACAGUAAAAAACGUUGAAACGUUUUACUGCAGCAUACUGUUAAUUAUGGUGUAUUGUGGGGAAAUUGCUGUAUUUCGAAUGGUACUGUAAUUCCAUCCCACAGAAUACAGUACCAUACCAUAUCUUUAGAGCGCCAAAAACCUUUUGACCACUAGUGGGUGCAUGGUAUUGUUGUUUCUGGCUCGUUAACAUAUUUUGAGGUGUGCCUUGUAAGAGGCUGUAUUUGUUGCACCCCAUGAGUGAGAAUGCUGCACCAAUUAUACUCCUAUGUGGCUAAAGUUCCCCAUCAAUUCAAAAUGUAUAGGGGACUGAUUGAAGUGUCAGCAAGUCUUGAACGUUAAGUGGUUUUAAGCAUUUAGCCAUGUCCUUUUGAUCUGUUUUCCCCUGUAGUUGAUGGCAGUUUUGAAAUCGUCGUUAGGGCCUCUAGAAGUGUAAGUGAUAUAAAACACCAAAUAUUCAUUGAUAUGCUGUAAUAUGUAAACACUUAGUAGCAAACCUGCUUGCACCAAUCCUAUGUAAUUACAGUAAAAUACUGUGAAAUACAAACCCUUACCAUCAAUAAAUGUAAUUCAUUCA